rnacentral:rRNA from 1 species
GACGAACGCUGGCGGCGUGCCUAAUACAUGCAAGUAGAACGCUGAAGAGAGGAGCUUGCUCUUCUUGGAUGAGUUGCGAACGGGUGAGUAACGCGUAGGUAACCUGCCUUGUAGCGGGGGAUAACUAUUGGAAACGAUAGCUAAUACCGCAUAACAAUGGAUGACACAUGUCAUUUAUUUGAAAGGGGGAAUUGCUCCACUACAAGAUGGACCUGCGUUGUAUUAGCUAGGAGGUGAGGUAACGGCUCACCUAGGCGACGAUACAUAGCCGACCUGAGAGGGUGAUCGGCCACACUGGGACUGAGACACGGCCCAGACUCCUACGGGAGGCAGCAGUAGGGAAUCUUCGGCAAUGGGGGCAACCCUGACCGAGCAACGCCGCGUGAGUGAAGAAGGUUUUCGGAUCGUAAAGCUCUGUUGUAAGUCAAGAACGAGUGUGAGAGUGGAAAGUUCACACUGUGACGGUAGCUUACCAGAAAGGGACGGCUAACUACGUGCCAGCAGCCGCGGUAAUACGUAGGUCCCGAGCGUUGUCCGGAUUUAUUGGGCGUAAAGCGAGCGCAGGCGGUUUGAUAAGUCUGAAGUUAAAGGCUGUGGCUCAACCAUAGUUCGCUUUGGAAACUGUCAAACUUGAGUGCAGAAGGGGAGAGUGGAAUUCCAUGUGUAGCGGUGAAAUGCGUAGAUAUAUGGAGGAACACCGGUGGCGAAAGCGGCUCUCUGGUCUGUAACUGACGCUGAGGCUCGAAAGCGUGGGGAGCGAACAGGAUUAGAUACCCUGGUAGUCCACGCCGUAAACGAUGAGUGCUAGGUGUUGGAUCCUUUCCGGGAUUCAGUGCCGCAGCUAACGCAUUAAGCACUCCGCCUGGGGAGUACGACCGCAAGGUUGAAACUCAAAGGAAUUGACGGGGGCCCGCACAAGCGGUGGAGCAUGUGGUUUAAUUCGAAGCAACGCGAAGAACCUUACCAGGUCUUGACAUCCCGAUGCUAUUUCUAGAGAUAGAAAGUUACUUCGGUACAUCGGUGACAGGUGGUGCAUGGUUGUCGUCAGCUCGUGUCGUGAGAUGUUGGGUUAAGUCCCGCAACGAGCGCAACCCCUAUUGUUAGUUGCCAUCAUUCAGUUGGGCACUCUAGCGAGACUGCCGGUAAUAAACCGGAGGAAGGUGGGGAUGACGUCAAAUCAUCAUGCCCCUUAUGACCUGGGCUACACACGUGCUACAAUGGUUGGUACAACGAGUUGCGAGUCGGUGACGGCAAGCUAAUCUCUUAAAGCCAAUCUCAGUUCGGAUUGUAGGCUGCAACUCGCCUACAUGAAGUCGGAAUCGCUAGUAAUCGCGGAUCAGCACGCCGCGGUGAAUACGUUCCCGGGCCU